GUAGAGACAGCAAGAACGAUGGUGGAUGUGAAGAUGGCAAAAGUUCAUCAAGUUUUAGAGAUCAUAUUUGGCUCAACUAUGAUUUCACUGCUGAUUCUCAUGGCCAUUGGAUCAAUCAAAGUUAAAGCACAGGCAGGGCAUCUUCCUCCUGAGGAAGUGCAAGCUCUGCAAGAAGUGGCAACCCAAUUGGGCAAAAAAGAUUGGAACUUUAAAGUAGAUCCUUGCAGUAAUGACACAAGUUGGAAGACACCACUAUCCAAGGAUAGGCCUUACUAUGCCAAUAUUGUAACUUGCAAUUGUUCUUAUAUUGGGGGUGAAUGUCAUGUUGAAAGCAUAUUACUCAAAGCGCAAGAUCUUGCUGGUGUGCUGCCCCGUGCCAUUAUGAAACUACCUUUCCUCAAGAAACUUGAUCUUACUCGGAAUUACCUCAGUGGUAACAUACCAAGUGAAUGGGCUUCUACAAAGUUGGAAUUUCUGUCUGUUUCCAUUAACCGCUUAAUGGGAAAAAUCCCAAGCUAUCUAGGAAAUAUUACCACGCUUAGAGCCUUGGGCAUUGAGAACAAUAUGUUUUCAGGAACUGUUCCCCCUCAGCUUGGAAACUUGGUUAACUUGGAGAUUCUCUAUCUUGGUGCAAACAAUCUGACUGGAAAUUUACCGCUGGCUCUUAGUAAUUUGACCAAACUAACAGAGCUUAGGAUAAGCAGCAACAACUUCAUUGGAAAAAUACCCAGUUUUAUUCAAAGCUGGAAAAAUCUUCAGAAGUUAGAGAUUCAAGCUAGUGGUUUUGAAGGGCCUAUUCCUUCUAGCAUUUCUACUUUGAACAAUUUAACUGAACUAAGGAUUAGCGACUUACAUGGAGAAGGUUCAGAGUUUCCACACUUAGAGAACAUGACAGGGAUUGAGUCAUUGAUGCUGAGGAAUUGCAAUAUAUCUGGUUCUAUCCCACUAUAUAUAGCAGCAAGGCCAUCACUGAAAAAAUUAGAUCUCAGU
rnacentral:misc_RNA from 1 species